GACGAACGCUGGCGGCGUGCUUAACACAUGCAAGUCGAACGAAGUGGCGAACGGGUGAGUAACGCGUAAUCAACCUGCCCUUCAGAGGGGGAUAACAGUUGGAAACGACUGCUAAUACCGCAUACGUAAGGGGGGGACUGCGGUUGGUUAGCUAGUUGGAGGGGUAACGGCCCACAAGGGCGAGGAUCAGUAGCAGGUCUGAGAGGAUGAACGGCAACAGUGGGACGGAGACACGGCCCAGACUCCUACGGGAGGCAGCAGUGGGGAAUCUUCCGCAAUGGACGAAAGUCUGACGGAGCAACGCCGCGUGAGUGAUGACGGCCUUCGUGUUUGAAAGCUCUGUUAAUCGGGACGCGGUACCGGAAUAGAAAGCCACGGCUAACUACGUGCCAGCAGCCGCGGUAAUAC
rnacentral:rRNA from 1 species